AUUGAACGCUGGCGGCAGGCCUAACACAUGCAAGUCGAACGAGUGGCGGACCGGUGAGUAAUGUCUGGGAAACUGCCUGAUGGUGGGGGAUAACUCCUGGAAACUGUAGCUAAUACCGCAUACCAUCGGAUGUGCCCAGAUGGGAUUAGCUAGUAGGUGGGGUAAAGGCUCACCUAGGCGACGCUCCCUAGCUGGUCUGAGAGGACGACCAGCCACACUGGAACUAAGACACGGUCCAGACGCCUACGGGAGGCAGCAGUGGGGAAUAUUGCACAAUGGGCGAAAGCCUGAUGCAGCCAUGCCGCGUGUAUGAAGAAGGCCUUCGGGUUGUAAAGUACUUUCAGCGGGGAGGCGUUAACCGAAGAAGAAGCACCGGCUAACUCCGUGCCAGCAGCCGCGGUAAUUC
rnacentral:rRNA from 1 species